rnacentral:piRNA from 1 species
UCCUUUAUAAGAGUUGGUCAAGGUUUCUCU